rfam:Elusimicrobia bacterium RIFOXYD12_FTLL_66_9 rifoxyd3_full_scaffold_5457, whole genome shotgun sequence.
CGGGGCGUAGCUCAAUUGGCAGAGCGCGCGGUUUGGGACCGCGAGGUUCCGAGUUCGACCCUCGGCGCCCCGA